UAGCAUAUCAAUAAGCGGAGGAAAAGAAACCAACAGGGAUUGCCUCAGUAACGGCGAAGUGAAGCGGCAUCAGCUCAAAUUUGAAAUCUGGCCUCACGGUCCGAGUUGUAAUUUGUAGAGAAUGCUUCGGGCGAGGUCCGGUCUAAGUUCCUUGGAACAGGACGUCAUAGAGGGUGAGAAUCCCGUAUGUGACCGGGUGCCUCCGCCCAUGUGAAGCUUCUUCGACGAGUCGAGUUGUUUGGGAAUGCAGCUCAAAAUGGGUGGUAAAUUUCAUCUAAAGCUAAAUACUGGCCAGAGACCGAUAGCGCACAAGUAGAGUGAUCGAAAGAUGAAAAGCACUUUGGAAAGAGAGUUAAACAGUACGUGAAAUUGUUGAAAGGGAAGCGCUUGCAACCAGACUUGCGCGUAGCCGAUCAUCCGGUGUUCUCACCGGUGCACUCGGUUGCGCUCAGGCCAGCAUCGGUUUCGGUGGUUGGAUAAAGGCCUGGGGAAUGUAGCUUCUCUCGGGGAGUGUUAUAGCCCUGGGUGCAAUGCAGCCUACCGGGACCGAGGACCGCGCUUCGGCUAGGAUGCUGGCGUAAUGGUUGUAAGCGACCCGUCUUGAAACACGGACCAAGGAGUCUAACAUCUAUGCGAGUGUUUGGGUGUCAAACCCAUACGCGUAAUGAAAGUGAACGGAGGUGAGAACCCUUAAGGGUGCAUCAUCGACCGAUCCUGAUGUCUUCGGAUGGAUUUGAGUAAGAGCAUAGCUGUUGGGACCCGAAAGAUGGUGAACUAUGCCUGAAUAGGGUGAAGCCAGAGGAAACUCUGGUGGAGGCUCGCAGCGGUUCUGACGUGCAAAUCGAUCGUCAAAUUUGGGUAUAGGGGCGAAAGACUAAUCGAACCAUCUAGUAGCUGGUUCCUGC
rnacentral:rRNA from 1 species